GAUGAACGCUGGCGGCGUGCCUAAUACAUGCAAGUCGAGCGAACAGACGAGGAGCUUGCUCCUCUGACGUUAGCGGCGGACGGGUGAGUAACACGUGGAUAACCUACCUAUAAGACUGGGAUAACUUCGGGAAACCGGCGCUAAUACCGGAUAAUAUAUUGAACCGCAUGGUUCAAUAGUGAAAGACGGUUUUGCUGUCACUUAUAGAUGGAUCCGCGCCGCAUUAGCUAGUUGGUAAGGUAACGGCUUACCAAGGCGACGAUGCGUAGCCGACCUGAGAGAGUGAUCGGCCACACUGGAACUGGAACACGGUCCAGGCUCCUACGGGAGGCAGCAGUAGGGAAUCUUCCGCAGUGGGCGAAAGCCUGACGGAGCAACGCCGCGUGAGUGAUGAAGGUCUUCGGAUCGUAAAACUCUGUUAUUAGGGAAGAACAAAUGUGUAAGUAACUAUGCACGUCUUGACGGUACCUAAUCAGAAAGCCACGGCUAACUACGUG
rnacentral:rRNA from 1 species